CAGCCGCCGCGGGAAUACGUAGGUGGCAAGCGUUGUCCGGAAUUAUUGGGCGUAAAGGGCUCGCAGGCGGUUUCUUAAGUCUGAUGUGAAAGCCCCCGGCUCAACCGGGGAGGGUCAUUGGAAACUGGGAAACUUGAGUGCAGAAGAGGAGAGUGGAAUUCCACGUGUAGCGGUGAAAUGCGUAGAGAUGUGGAGGAACACCAGUAGCGAAGGCGACUCUCUGGUCUGUAACUGACGCUGAGGAGCGAAAGCGUGGGGAGCGAACAGGAUUAGAUACCCCAGUAGUCCAUGUCUCUUAUAC
rnacentral:rRNA from 1 species